GACGAACGCUGGCGGCGUGCUUAACACAUGCAAGUCGAGCGGUAAGGCCCUUUCGGGGGUACACGAGCGGCGAACGGGUGAGUAACACGUGGGUGACCUGCCCUCAGCUCUGGGAUAGGCCUGGGAAACUGGGUCUAAUACCGGAUAUGACUCCAUGACGCAUGUUGUGGGGUGAAAGCCUUGUGCGGCUGAGGAUGGGCCCGCGGCCUAUCAGCUUGUUGGUGGGGNGAUGGCCUACCAAGGCGACGACGGGUAGCCGGCCUGAGAGGGCGACCGGCCACACUGGGACUGAGACACGGCCCAGACUCCUACGGGAGGCAGCAGUGGGGAAUCUUGCGCAAUGGGCGAAAGCCUGACGCAGCGACGCCGCGUGAGGGAUGACGGCCUGGUGU
rnacentral:rRNA from 1 species